CACCUGUGGUGAACUAAACACAGCCCAGGAAUAUAAUACCAAGUAGGAAGUACCUCAAAAGUCGUGAACACAUACAGCACAUCAAAAAUGGAGGAGGACGAUGCCGUUUACAAUAUUCCAUCAACUCCGGGAGCUUUCAGGCUUCUGUGAGACGUGUUCUUGAGCUUCAGAGGCGAAGACACACGCCACACCUUCACCAGCAACCUCUACACCUCCCUCCACAACCAUGGCGUUCGAGUCUUCCGCUACGACGACGGGUUACGCCGUGGAGACGAGAUCGCCUCGAGUCUGCUCGAAGCAAUCGAGGACUCGGCAGCUUCAAUCGUCAUCAUCUCCCCUAACUACGCGUCGUCGAAGUGGUGCCUCGAGGAACUUUCCAAGAUAUGCGACUGCAGGAGGCUCAUACUCCCCGUGUUCUACCGAGUCGACCCGUCUGAUGUUCGGAGACAAAAAGGACCUUUCGAAGAACAUUUUUGGAAACAUGAAGAGAGGUUUGGGGAAGACAAGGUUUUGAAGUGGAGGAAAGCCAUGGAAACUGUUGGUGGAAGAGCUGGUUGGGUUUUCACCAACAGCGAAGAACCACUAUUGGCUCUACUGUUGAUUCUUAAUACUUUCCAUUUGAUUGACAAUAGGGAACACAAUGUAUAGAAGGCAUUGUCCUAGACUUUGAGAAAAGAUUAGAAAAGCCUCUCAAAGAUCCAAGUGGUGAUACAAUUUCUUGGUAUAACCUCAAAGAAACCUCAAUUUCACCUCAGCAGUCACAUACUUAAAGGAAAGGUAUAAACAUUAUCUUGAAGAUCGAGCAAAGAGAGAGAGAGGUUGUAAUUUUCACCAAUUCCCUUAAAACCAUGGUCAAUCUUAGACUGCUCCAAAUAAAUAAUGUGAAUUUGGAAGGGAAGUUCAAAUAUCUUCCUGUUGAACUGAAGUGGCUACAAUGGAAAGGUUGCCCCAUGAAAAGUCUUCCUUCUGAUUUUUGUCCUCACAAAGUUGCUUUACUUGAUUUAUCAGAAAGCAAAAUUGAACAAUUGUGGGGUUCGCACAAUAACAAGGUAUGCUUUUAUUAAAAAUUCCAUUGUGAUUAUCAUUAAUGUUUGAACUAAAUUAUCAUUAUCAUUACUGCAAGAAUAGGAUGCAUGACCUACCGCUAUAACUUCCAUUUUUAGGCUGGCUUUUUUUGUUACCUCCAACUCUUCUUUCUAUUUUAAAUCACCCAAAGCUGCUUUGGUAAUUAUGGUUUGUUCAGCUUAUACAUUUGAUGGAAAAUCGCAAUGACAGUUCCUAUUUAAAAGAAGAAAACCUUUUGUUUUCCAGGUGCUUGAGAACUUGAUGGUUUUGAAUCUCCUUGGUUGCUUUAAUCUAGCUGCUGUUCCAGAUUUAUCUGGACAUCAAGCCUUAGAAAAAUUCCUGAUGAUUUUGAGAUGUUGUCAUCACUGGAGUUUUUGAAUCUAGGCCACAAUAAUUUUUACAGCCUUCCCUCCAGCCUGAGGGGCCUGUCCAUCCUCCAAAAACUUAUCUUGCACAAUUGUAAGGAGCUCAAGUCUCUCCCUCCACUGCCCUCAAGUUUGCUAGAGGUGAAUGUUGAAAAUUGUAUUGUGUUGGAAAAUAUAUCUGAUCUUUCAAACUCGGAAAGCUUAAGUGAUCUGAACCUUACUGAUGAUGCCGUAAAUAUCACUAGUGAGCUACACGAUCCUUGCACGCUUUUAAUAAUACCUACAAGAGAAAAGAGAAAAGACCUAACAGAGAACACCAGUGUGGUGCCGGCCAAAUACCCUCCGAAUGUCAAAUUAGAAUUAUUCUCACAACUUUAGAGUGCUAGAAAAGGGUAAAUUAUGCAUACCUUGAUUUGUGAGGGUAUUGGGACUUUUAUAGUAGUAGAAGGUUGUCCCCUCUUUCUUGGCGUAGAAGUCUUUUCCUUAUAGGAAUCCUCUCGAAUAGUCCCAAACAUGAUGGACAAGACCCUUUCCUUGUAUAGAAGAUCUUUAUUUACGUGCGUAUCUUCCGGAAUUCUCUUUGUGUUAGGAUUCCUAUUUUCCUUGGGAUUCUAUGAUGAUUCAAGCGUGUGUCACAAGUAUUUCCCAUCUAGGGCCUUCGCUGUGCCUUGGGCUUGCCCUCUGUCGGCCCAUGGACUAGAUCCGUCAGGCCCAAUUUAACGGAGGUCCGUCAUAUCUUAUUUUUACCCCUUCACUUACUAAUUGUGAGAAAGUGGUGGACAUUCCUGGCCUUGAAUGCUUGAAGUCCUUGAGAAGGUUGUACGAGUGUUUGCAAUGUGUGCUACUCAAUAGUAAAGAGAAGACUGUCUAAGGUUUCUUUGAGGAACAUGCGCAAUCUAAGUAUGCCUGGAAGCAAGAUUCCGAGUUGGUUUUCUCAGAAGGAGGUUAGAUUUACAAACCUUAGAAACCGUGAGAUCAAAGGUGUUAUUAUAGCUGUUGUUGUCUCGCUCAAUUAGCAAGUAUCAGAUGACCUUAGAUAUCGCCUACCUGCAAUAGUGGACAUCCAGGCAGAGAUCCUCAAACAAAAUAGUUAUGUAUACAAAACAACAUUGAACUUGAAUGGAGUCCCAAAGACAAAUGAAGAUCAAAUUCACUUGUGCCAAUACCCUUUUCAUUGAAAGAUGGUUAUAAGAUACAAGUGAUAACGAGAAACCCGCCAAACAUGAAGGGUGUUGAGCUCAAGAAUUGGGGGGUUUGUUUGGUUUUUGAUGGUGAUGAUGAUUACGAGGGAGAUGAAGAAUCAUUGAAUGAAAGCCAACAGUCCAUAUCAGAAAGACUAGCAACGUUUUUCAACACUUUUAAAGAAGACAAUUGUGUCUCUAAAUCUGUUGAUGAAGUUGAGGAAAAAGAUUACAUUUUUGUGUACCCCCUGUUUUUUGUCAAGAACCUGAUAUUGAAAAGUGGAAAAGAUUGAAGGAAGAGAACAGCAAAGAGCAACCUCAUUUGACAAAUUUACUAUGUUUCUGCUUUCAUUGUUCUUUCUUUUGUCAUUCUGUGGAGUUGGUCACAAAUAUGGUGUUAACAGAGACGGUCUCUACAGUAGCUGUUUAUUUUAAUUCAAAAUCAACCAUGCAAUUGUGAACCUUAGCAGCUCCGAAGAUUGGGGAAUUUUGAAUUUUA